UACGUAGGUGGCAAGCGUUACUCGGAAUCACUAGGCGUAAAGCGCAGGUAGGCGGUUCGGUAAGUCUUUUGUGAAAGCUCCCGGCUCAACUGGGAGAGGUCAAAGGAAACUACCGGGCUAGAGUGUGGUAGGGGAAACGUGGAAUUCCUGGUGUAGCGGUGAAAUGCGUAGAUAUCAGGAGGAACACCUAUGGCGAAAGCAGGUUCUGGGCCAUCACUGACGCUGAGACACGAAAGCGUGGGUAGCAAACAGG
rnacentral:rRNA from 1 species